UACGUAGGUGGCGAGCGUUGUCCGGAUUUACUGGGCGUAAAGGGAGCGUAGGCGGACUUUUAAGUGAGAUGUGAAAUACCCGGGCUUAACUUGGGUGCUGCAUUUCAAACUGGAAGUCUAGAGUGCAGGAGAGGAGAAUGGAAUUCCUAGUGUAGCGGUGAAAUGCGUAGAGAUUAGGAAGAACACCAGUGGCGAAGGCGAUUCUCUGGACUGUAACUGACGCUGAGGCGCGAAAGCGUGGGUAGCAAACAGGAUUAGAUACCCCGGUAGU
rnacentral:rRNA from 1 species